rnacentral:lncRNA from 10 species
UGGGAGGGACACACCUUCAACUUUUGCUGUACAAGAUUCCCAUGGAUAGAGACCAGCUAAGCUCAAGUUUACAAUACAGAAUUACAAAGGGAUUAGGGUGAGGCUGAGGGGAGAGCCAUGCUUGAGACAGCAUAGAAAGAUUCUCAACUCUCCCUCUGUUGCUUGGGGGAAACAAGUUUUGCAUGUUUAUAGACACAAUGUGAGACAAGCGAUUUUGUGUGCUCAGCCUGGCACAGCAAUUGCCCAGUGUCCCUCCUUGAAAAAAAGCUGCCUUUGAAGGUUCAGGAAAGUGCUUGGGCCUCAGGGCCUCCCCAAGCCCAGCAGGGCUCCCCAGGCUCUGCCUCAACAGGAGGGUCAGUUCCACUUCUUCUGUCUCCACACACCCAGCUCUUUGAACCAAGAACAGGGUGAGUCGCCUUCCCUCUUCGCCUCCUCUCGCAGCCCCCUCCCCUUCCUUCCCUCUGGGGCUCACCAUGGGACCUCCAGCUUGGCGGGACAAAGAUGUUGGGAUGGGCAGAAAUACCUCACCAAGUUUUUACCCAGGACCCACAAGUCUUUGGUCUUCACCAAGAUCACCAUCUAAGGACUCCUCUGUGAGAAAGGGUGUGGGGGAGAGGCUGUCUUGUGUCUGUAAGUAUGCCAAACUUAUUUUCCCCAAGGCAGAGGGAACUCAGCUUCUGUGAGUAGCCCCCAUGCGGUGGCUGCGGAGUUGCUGACCCUGGUGUGAAAUGGACAUUGAGACAUCUAGAGAAGGUGGUAGAAAGGGAAUUGGGGUAAGAGAAUGUUAAAGAGAUCAUGACUUUCAUGUAAGUAGAAAACUAAUACAUGUCAAAGACUUUAGCUUACUAGGUAAUGAGGGAACCAGUAAGAUGUUACAACCAGUUCAAAGGAGAGUCCGAAGAGUAGAUCCAUUAUAGGCCACCAGGAAAUGAAGUUGCAAAUAGAUGAAAAACAGGCCAUAUCUACAAGCCAAUAGUCAACGGCACUUCUAUCAGACAAACUUCAGGGACAUUUCUAUGGACAAGAACUAUUUACUUUACCCUCAGUUUUGUGCAACUUACCAAGUUAUAAAAGAGCUCAGAGGCAAUGAAAGGCAGAAGCCCCUCAGAAUCAGAUAGCCCAGAGCUGUGCACCAGAUGGAACACUUGGUAGACUUUCUCCGAUUUCAGAGCCGUUCACCAUUUCUUGUGAAUGGAGGAUGAGUGGGGGACAGGCUAAGGACUCAUGAAAGGCAUAUACCCUCAUCUGCUCUCAGGUUUGCCUGGGCUUCCCUGAGCUUUGAAGAAGAGAACCUGAGCCCCGGUUGCCUUAGCAUCUAUAGCUUCUCUCCUUUCUUUUUAAUUAUUAUUUUAAAAAAUCAAAUUGUAACGUAUCGACCAGGCACAGUGGCUCACACCUGUAAUCCCACCACUGUGGGAGGCCAAGCCAGGCAAAUCGAUUGAGCUCAGGAGUUUGAAACCAGCCUGAGCAACAUGGCAAAACCCCAUCUCUACCAAAAAUACAAAAAUUAGUGUCAUGAUGGUGCACGCCUGCAGUCCCAGCUACUUGGGAGGCUGAAGUCAGGAAGUCAACGCUGCACUGAGCCAUGAUCACACCGCUGCACUCCAGAGCAAGACACUGUUUCAAAAAAAAAAAAAAAGUUAUACACAUUUUACAGUAAAGUGCACAAAUAUAAAGUCUACCGCCUCAUGAAUUACAGUAAAGUGCACAAAUAUAAAGUCUACCGCCUCAUGAAUUUUUACACAUGUAUACACCCAUGUAACCAUUAUUCAAAUCACAGUAUAGAACAUUUCCAGAAUUUCAGAAAGUUUCCUCAUGCCCCCGCCUAGUCAAUAAUUAAUCUCCCUGGUUGGGUGCGGUGGCUCACAUCUGUAAACCUAGCAUGUUGGGAGGCUGAGUUAGGAGGAUUGUUUGAGCCCAGGAGUUCAAAACUAGCCUGGGCAACAUAGUGAGACCUUGUCUCUACAAAAAAAUUAAAACAUUAGUGGGGAAUCAUGGCAUGCACCUGAGGCAGGAGAGUAGGGUCUGGAGGCAGGAAACCUAAGGCCAAUUCAUGCUGAUAUCCUAGAACUAAAUCAUAAGGAAAACUCCAACUUUCCACACCCAAGUAACAAAAGGACCAGAGGCUACUUCCCUUUGCAACCGCCCAUCCUUUUCUGCAUGGCAGAUGAAAAAUGGAAAGUACCUCUGAUUGGUCCCCUCCCACACCCAGUCAGAGUGGUCGUGGGCCUAGUCUUCAUAUGCAUAGGAGUAUAACUUUGUAACUUUACUUUAAUCAGACUGGUUGUGGGCCACUACUUUAUUUACAUAGGGUGUACACCAAGUAACCAAUGGGAAACCUCUAGAGGGUAUUUAAACCCCAGAUAAUUCUGUAAUCAGCACUCUUGAGCUGCCUGCUCGAGCCCAGUCCCACUCGAGUACACUGUGGAGUGUACUUUUGUUUUAGUAAAUCUCUGCUUUCCUUGCUUCAUUCUUUCCUUGCUUUGUUUGUGCAUGUUGUCCAAUUAUUUGUUCAAAAUGCCAAGAACCUGGAUGUAACACACCUGUAGUCACAGCUAUUCGGGAGGCUGAGGCAGGAGGGUCCCUUGAGCCUGGGAGGUAGAGGCUGCAGUGUGAGCUAGAAUCAUGCUAUUGCACUUUACCCUGGUCAACAGAAUGAGAUCAUCUCAGAAAACAAAAACAAUAACAACAACAAAACCCUAACCUCCUUAAGAGGUAACCACCAUUCUGACUUCUAUCACCACAGAUUAUUUUUGCCUGUUUUUGAACUUAACAUGAAUUGAGCCAUACGGUACAUACAGUAUGUAUGAUUUUGUGUCUGGAUUGCUUCAUUAUAAUAUUUGUGAGAUGCAUCCAUGUCAUUAUAUAUAUGAGUAGUUUGUUUAUUUUUAUUGCUGAGUAGUACUCCAUUGUAUGAUUAUUUCAUCUCCCUUUGAUACAGAUUUAGGUUCCCAGUUUUGGCCUGUUCUGAGUAAAGUUGUGGUGAACAUUCUUUCAUAUGUCUUUUUGUAAACGUAUGUUUCAAAUUCUCUUGAGUAAUGUCUAGGAAUGGAAUUGCUGGGCCAUGUAUUUGACAUAUGUUUAGGUUUACUAGACAGAGGCAAGUAGCCCAGGUGGUUGCAUCAAUUUAUAUUCCCCUAGCAGUGUAAA